rnacentral:rRNA from 1 species
UGGGGAAUAUUGCACAAUGGGCGCAAGCCUGAUGCAGCGACGCCGCGUGAGGGAUGACGGCCUUCGGGUUGUAAACCUCUUUCAGCAGGGAAGAAGCGCAAGUGACGGUACCUGCAGAAGAAGCGCCGGCUAACUACGUGCCAGCAGCCGCGGUAAUACGUAGGGCGCAAGCGUUGUCCGGAAUUAUUGGGCGUAAAGAGCUCGUAGGCGGUUUGUCGCGUCUGCUGUGAAAACGCGAGGCUCAACCUCGCGCCUGCAGUGGGUACGGGCAGCCUAGAGUGCGGUAGGGGAGACUGGAAUUCCUGUUGUAGCGGUGGAAUGCGCAGAUAUCAGGAGGUACACCGGUGGCGAAGGCGGGUCUCUGGGCCGUAACUGACGCUGAGGAGCGAAAGCAUGGGGAGCGAACA